rnacentral:rRNA from 1 species
GGCCUGUUUAUCAAAAACAUGUCUUUAAGGGUUUAUUUAAAGUCUAACCUGCUCAGUGAUUAUUUUUUAAAUAGCCGCGGUAUUUUAACUGUGCUAAGGUAGCAUAAUAAUUAGUCCUUUAAUUGAGGUCUGGUAUGAAUGGUUGAACGAGAAAUUUACUUUAUUAAUUUAAUUUUUUUUGAAUUUUAUUUUUUAGUUAAAAAUCUAAAAUCUUAAAGAGGGACGAUAAGACCCUAUAGAUCUUUAUAAUUUUAUUAAUUUUUUUUAUUUAGUUUUAAUUUUAUUAAUAUUAAUUUGUUUAUUUUAUUGGGGUGAUAACUAAAAUUUUAAACUUUAGUUGAUUUUUACAUUUUUUUUUGGGGCUUAUGAUCUUUAAUUUUAUGAUUGCAAGAUUAAGAUACCUUAGGGAUAACAGCGUUAUAAAACUGGAGAGUUCUUAUUGAUAGUUUUGUUUGCGACCUCGAUGUUGGAUUAAAAUUUUACUGUGGGGUAGAUUUUACAGUUUUAGGUCUGUUCGACCUUUAAAAUUUUACAUGAUCUGAGUUCAGACCGGA